UAAUGCCUUAAGUUCCUAGGAGGAAAUAUACAAAGGACACAAAAGAAAUUCUGGGAUAGGGUGUCUCAAAGUGAUGAGUUAAAAGGCAUGGCCACAAUCACAGUUUCAUGUCUUUAGCCACACUGAAAUUAAAUGGAAAUGUUCAGCAGAAUCAACUCAACAAAGGUCAACAGAAGGGCAAGACUUUUGAAUCCAAGAGCAAGAAGACAGCAGCUAACCUGUGUCACUGAAAUGCCUCCACACUGACGACUGUGCAGGAGGAAACACACUACAGUGUUCUCUAACUGCCUGGCAAUGGAAGUCCUUGUGAAGAGUCAUCAGUGUGUCUACGAAACACCCUGGGAAAACCUUGGAAACUAAAACAGACUCCGGAUGUCUUGGCAUAAUUGGAGCUAGCUUUCAAAUGCAGGCUAAUCAUACAACACACACCACUGUCCUGCUCUUGAGAUGAGAGGAUGGUUGACGGCGAGAGUGGAAAGCAGACUCACAACAGCCAUGCCCACAGUUUGGAGAAUGGUUGACUCCAAGUGAGAGAAGCAUGUGGGGCCUUGUAGAGGAGGACGGGAACACACCCUGAGUGUGACCUCUGAACCUGCUUUCAACCCUGAGACAUAUGAGAAGACUUAAAAACAGCGGCUGACAAGGAAGGGGAAGGGGCCCAGUACUCAAUGCUGAACCACUGGCAACGGAUGGAUUCUGGGAUACGGGGAAUCACUGUCGUAAGUGGAGUACUCACUGUUGAGCCUACCAGGCCCCAACAGACAGCUCCAAACUCAAAGUUACACAGACCGCCCUGAUUAAAUUCAGCAGGUUACAAACCAAAACAAUUAGAUAUGAAUGUGAGGAAGAUUUGUAGAGAAAAGGGGAAAUAGGCAGGAGUAGUGGGGAAUGGGGAAAGGUGGGAGAUGAGAGUGGUAAAUAUGCAUUACAUAAUAAGCGAAAUUGUUAAAAAUAUAAACAAACAAGCAAAUAAAUAAACCUACAGUCUGGGGCUGGGGGGAUGGAUCAGACAUCAAAGGCCUUAAACUGUGUCUCCAAACCCACAUAAAAUUUUUUAAAAUUUUUUUAAAGCUGCCAGGUAGUGGUGGUGUACACCUUUCAUCCCAGCACUUGGGAGGCAGAGACAGAUGGAUCU